UGCCAGCAGCCGCGGUAAUACGAAGGGUGCGAGCGUUGUUCGGAUUUAUUGGGCGUAAAGCGCGCGUAGGCGGACUAUUAAGUCAGGGGUGAAAUCCCGGGGCUCAACCCCGGAACUGCCCUUGAUACUGGUAGUCUUGAGUUCGAGAGAGGUGAGUGGAAUUCCGAGUGUAGAGGUGAAAUUCGUAGAUAUUCGGAAGAACACCAGUGGCGAAGGCGGCUCACUGGCCCGGUACUGACGCUGAGGUGCGAAAGCGUGGGGAGCAAACAGGAUUAGAUA
rnacentral:rRNA from 1 species